AAAUAAGCUUUCUUUAUUAUAUAUAAAAAAUUUAAUUUUUUAGUCAAAAAGCUAAAAUHAUAUUAUAGGACGAGAAGACCCUAUAGAACUUUAUUUUCUUUUUUAUAUAAAUUUUAUAGAUUAAUAAAAAUUUAUAUAUUUAUGCAUAAUUUUGUUGGGGUGAUUGAAAAAAUUAUWUAACUUUUUCUAYUUUUAUCAUUUAUAUAUGAUAUUUUGAUCCUAUAUUAUGGAUAAUAAGAUCAAGUUACCUUAGGGAUAACAGCGUUAUUUUUUUGGCGAGUUCUUAUCAAUAAAAAAGUUUGCGACCUCGAUGUUGGAUUAAAAUAAGUAAUAGGAGCAGAAUAUUAUUAC
rnacentral:rRNA from 1 species